ACCUGGGAUAGCUCAGGUUGUAGAGCAUGAGACUCUGAAUCUCAGGGUUGGGUGUUUGAGCCCCACAUUGGGCA